rnacentral:rRNA from 1 species
GAGUUUGAUCCUGGCUCAGAACGUACGCUGGCGGCACGCCUAACACAUGCAAGUCGAACGAAGUAGCAAUACUUAGUGGCAGACGGGUGAGUAACAUGUAGGUAUCUACCCUUUGGCCUGGAAUAACACGAGGAAACUUGUGCUAAUACCGGAUAAGUCUUUACGGAGAAAGCUUUAUGCACCAUUGGAUGAGCCUGCACUUGAUUAGUUUGUUGGUAGGGUAAUGGCCUACCAAGACUAUGAUCAAUAGCUGAUUUGAGAGGAUGAUCAGCCACAUUGGGACUGAGACACGGCCCAAACUCCUACGGGAGGCAGCAGUGGGGAAUCUUGCACAAUGGAGGAAACUCUGAUGCAGCGAUGCCGCGUGAGUGAAGAAGGCCUUUGGGUUGUAAAGCUCUUUCGUCGGGGAAGAAAAUGACUGUACCCGAAUAAGAAGGUCCGGCUAACUUCGUGCCAGCAGCCGCGGUAAUACGAAGGGACCUAGCGUAGUUCGGAAUUACUGGGCUUAAAGAGUUCGUAGGUGGUUGAAAAAGUUGGUGGUGAAAUCCCAGAGCUUAACUCUGGAACUGCCAUCAAAACUUUUCAGCUAGAGUUUGAUAGAGGAAAGCAGAAUUUCUAGUGUAGAGGUGAAAUUCGUAGAUAUUAGAAAGAAUACCAAUUGCGAAGGCAGCUUUCUGGAUCAAUACUGACACUGAGGAACGAAAGCAUGGGUAGCGAAGAGGAUUAGAUACCCUCGUAGUCCAUGCCGUAAACGAUGUGUGUUAGACGUUGGAAAUUUAUUUUCAGUGUCGCAGCGAAAGCGAUAAACACACCGCCUGGGGAGUACGACCGCAAGGUUAAAACUCAAUGAAUUGACGGGG